AUUUCUCGCCUGGCACUCGCCCGGGCUGCUGCUGCUGCUGCUGCUGCCGCCGCGGCGGGGGCAGCUCGCAAACCUGUGGCGGUGACGUGAGCCCCGCCAACCCGGAAACGGCGGCGGCGGCGGCACCGGAGGCUCCGAGGCUCCUGCGCUCCCGCGCCGCGCUCCCCUCGCCCGCCCGGGCCGCCAGGAGAAGAAACUGAGGCCUGGAAUUUGAUUAACUCAUUCAAGGUUACCCAGUUGGUAAGUAACAGAGCUGGAAUUUGACCAUGGUCAUCUGGCUCCAGAGCCAGCACUCUUAACCACACUUCCUAUGAGGAAAAAUUAAAGUGGAUGGUGAUGGCUACAAGAUGGAUUUCAGUUGCAUAGAAAUAAGAACCUCCUACCUCUGUUGAAAUCAGAAUACAUAUACACCCCUUCAUUCACUCUAUGAAUAUUCAUUCAUUCCAUGAACCUACAAGGUUUUUAGGUCAAAUUAUUAGUUUAAAUAAGAACUAUAGGCUGGGCGCA
rnacentral:lncRNA from 10 species